rnacentral:rRNA from 1 species
AGUGAACGCUGGCGGUAGGCCUAACACAUGCAAGUCGAACGGCAGCACAGUAAGAGCUUGCUCUUACGGGUGUCGAGUGGCGGACGGGUGAGGAAUACAUCGGAAUCUACUUUUUCGUGGGGGCUAACGUAGGGAAACUUACGCUAAUACCGCAUACGACCUACGGGUGAAAGCAGGGGAUCUUCUGACCUUGCGCGAUUGAAUGAGCCGAUGUCGGAUUAGCUAGUUGGCGGGGUAAAGGCCCACCAAGGCGACGAUCCGUAGCUGGUCUGAGAGGAUCAUCAGACACACUGGCACUGAGACACGGCAGCGACACCGACGGGAGGACGCAGUGGGGAAUAUUGGAGGAUGCGCGCAAGCCUGAUCCAGCCAUACCGCGUGGGUGAAGAAGGCCUUCGGGUUGUAGAGCCAUUUUGUUGGGAAAGAAAAGCAGCAGGUUAAUACCCCGCUGUUCUGACGGUACCCAAAGAAUAAGCACCGGCUAACUUCGUG